AUGCUGCAGGCGGGCUCGGAGCGGGCGGCCCCGCUCCCGGGCGCGGCGAGGCUGUGGGUGCCGGGGAUGAGCCCCGUGGCGGCGGACGGGGCGUCGGCCAGGGCGCGGGAGAUCGCGCGGAGGCGGGAGGAGAUGCUCGGCAUGCUGCGCGACCUCCCCGAGGCCGAGUACGAGCUCUCCCUCACCGACCUCGUCGACAAGACCGCCGCGGCCGGGGCCAACGGCUGUGUGGGCGUGGCGCCGCUACCGGCCGAGAGGAAGGAGGCGAGCCCGAGCCCGAGCCCCUUGGGUCUGGCCGAGCGGUCCGCGUCCAGCGGGCAGGCCGAGCCGCAGCAGCCGGCGAGGGCGACGGAGAAGCGGGGCUCCGCGAGGCGGCGCGGGGAUGGCGGCAGCGGGAGCGGCCUCCGCAGCAGCAGCGACGGCGUCCUGCUCAACUUCUACAUGCCGCGCUCCUUCACGCGCAGCUUCACCGCGCCGCGCCCCGCCCGCACGCCCUCCUUCUCCAACUCCGGCCGGGCCGCCAGCGCCGUCGCCCCCGACGACUGCAACAAGAGGGAGAGAGACGGCGACACGGUCAGGUGCUGGCCGCUGCCGUGGGACCGGCGGUGGCGCAAGUCGAGCCGGCAGCGGCAAGACCCGGCCUCCGCAACGUCCGGCGAGCUGUCGGCGAUGCUGGCGGCGGCGGACCACUCUGCUCCCGCGGACAAAGUCUGA
rnacentral:rRNA from 1 species